CACGUAGGGACCGAGCGUUGUCCGGAUUUAUUGGGCGUAAAGAGCUCGUAGGCGGUCGUGUAAGUCGGGUGUGAAAUCUCCAGGCUCAACUUGGAGGGGCCACCCGAUACUGCUCGACUCGAAGUCCGGUAGGGGAGUGGGGGAAUUCCUGGUGUAGCGGUGAAAUGCGCAGAUAUCAGGAGGAACACCGGUGGCGAAGGCGCCACUCUGGGGCCGGUACUGACGCUGAGGAGCGAAAAGCGUGGGUAGCAAACAGG
rnacentral:rRNA from 1 species